UGGCGGGUGCUAUACAUGCAGUCGAACGAACUCUGGUAUUGAUUGGUGCUCGCAUCAUGAUUUACAUUUGAGUGAGUGGCGAACUGGUGAGUAACACGUGGGAAACCUGCCCAGAAGCGGGGGAUAACACCUGGAAACAGAUGCUAAUACCGCAUAACAACUUGGACCGCAUGGUCCGAGUUUGAAAGAUGGCUUCGGCUAUCACUUUUGGAUGGUCCCGCGGCGUAUUAGCUAGAUGGUGGGGUAACGGCUCACCAUGGCAAUGAUACGUAGCCGACCUGAGAGGGUAAUCGGCCACAUUGGGACUGAGACACGGCCCAAACUCCUACGGGAGGCAGCAGUAGGGAAUCUUCCACAAUGGACGAAAGUCUGAUGGAGCAACGCCGCGUGAGUGAAGAAGGGUUUCGGCUCGUAAAACUCUGUUGUUAAAGAAGAACAUAUCUGAGAGUAACUGUUCAGGUAUUGACGGUAUUUAACCAGAAAGCCACGGCUAACUACGUGCCAGCAGCCGCGGUAAUACGUAGGUGGCAAGCGUUGUCCGGAUUUAUUGGGCGUAAAGCGAGCGCAGGCGGUUUUUUAAGUCUGAUGUGAAAGCCUUCGGCUCAACCGAAGAAGUGCAUCGGAAACUGGGAAACUUGAGUGCAGAAGAGGACAGUGGAACUCCAUGUGUAGCGGUGAAAUGCGUAGAUAUAUGGAAGAACACCAGUGGCGAAGGCGGCUGUCUGGUCUGUAACUGACGCUGAGGCUCGAAAGUAUGGGUAGCAAACAGGAUUAGAUACCCUGGUAGUCCAUACCGUAAACGAUGAAUGCUAAGUGUUGGAGGGUUUCCGCCCUUCAGUGCUGCAGCUAACGCAUUAAGCAUUCCGCCUGGGGAGUACGGCCGCAAGGCUGAAACUCAAAGGAAUUGACGGGGGCCCGCACAAGCGGUGGAGCAUGUGGUUUAAUUCGAAGCUACGCGAAGAACCUUACCAGGUCUUGACAUACUAUGCAAAUCU
rnacentral:rRNA from 1 species